rnacentral:tRNA from 1 species
GGAUAUAGUUCAGUGGUAGAGCACGUGCUUAGCAUGCAUGAGGCUCAGGGUUCAAUCCCCAGUACUUCCA